AAGCUUACUAAGCAUACAUAUAUUGGAAAAAAACCUUUUUUAAGCCGAUUAGCCAUAAAAAUACAACGUAAUUGAACUUUGGAGCCGCAAUAAGUGUGCCCAAUAUUCGGUAGUCGCACUGUAGGCGCUAUCUAAUUAUAUGCUAUUCAUGUUCUAUCUAAAAUCUGCUCUCUAUAAAUCGCAUUCCGGCGACUUCCUGUCGACACUCACACACAAACCAAAACAAGAAAAACAAUAAAAAAUCGUUAAAAGAGCAACAAAAAUCCAGUCAAAAACUGUCCACUGUCCACAGAAAUGCAAUAAAUUUUGAAAUCAGCUCUGGUAUUUUUUACUACUUCUCACCAGACGACAGAUAUCACGCCCCUCGCCAACGAUUCCCCUUUCUACAAAUAGAUGUGCGAAAAAAAUAAUAAAGCAUAUAUAAAACAUUUGUUUUAAAGCAAUUUUGAAUGCUUUUAAAACCCUUUAAUAUUUUUUGUGGCUGUCAUAAACCAUCUUGUAAUAAAUUAGUCGAGAGGCGGGAAAAUAUAAAUUAUUAUUUGGGGGUCAGGAAUCUCACAAAAGGGGUAUAUAUAAUAGGUAUGUCUUCAUUUCAUUUGUAGUUUGGGGCUAAGUCUCAUAUUUCUUUUUAACAAAAAUUAAUUGGAAAACUUGGAAAAUAAAUGAUUUAAUACUUAAAUAAAUUGGGAUUUAAUAAAGGGGAUUAUUGUUCUAUUGCCCAAGCUUUGAUGUUAUAAUAUCGUUUAUAGUGAAACAUUUAGGUUAAUUAAAAUAAUUUUUUAAAAAUAAUAUGUAUAGCUGAAGAAAUAUAACUAUUAAAUCGUUCCACGUUUACACUACUCAAUCUUUAUUGCGUUUUCAUGUUUCUGUUCCUCACCCUUAAUAAUAUUGCCUAAAAAUUAUAAGUGAAUUACAGCAGAAAAUCUCGAGUUUAAUUAGAAAUGACACCAGAAAAAAGGUAAUUUUCUCGCCUGAAAACCAAAGUGCCGGGAUUAGCUUCGAUUAAAUCUUUCAAAGUCGGUUUUAGGUUGAGAGAAAAAGCAAAGAAUUUCCCAGAAGAGCUUUAUCUUUUCAGCUCUAUCGGAGCCACAAGGUUUUGGCUUCGGUUUGACUUUGGCUAUGGCUUAGGCUACGGUUAUGGCGAUGAAAACAAAGGCCCGGGCCAUGGAGUUUUGAUAGAGGAACCAGAACAAAACCAAGUCAAAGUCGCGUGUAGGAUCGUCCCCUCUCUCUCUCUCUAGGUGUCUCACCCCUUCUCUUUCGCACAGCAGUAGGCAAAUCACUUCCGUUCAAUGAACCCAUGCGUAAGCCAGCUCUUCAUCAGCUCUUUUGCUUUUGCUCUUGCUCUUGCCUUUUGCUUUUCCUUUGCCAUUGCUAUGCUAUUGCUAUUGCUAUUGCCUCUUGGCUAUGCCACACACACAGUCGCACACCACACACACACACACACUCGCAGCAACACACAGCGACACACAUGUGGCUCAGUCUCAGUUUUUUCUCUCUGCUUUUUACAUACAAAUGUGGUUAAAAUACUAGAAGCUACAUGAAGUUAACUUUACAAAAAUUGUUAGAAAUUGUAGGUAUUACCAAAAAUUCAGUCUAUAAUAGAUGUUGUAGGUUUCCCUAAACUAAAUCACAUUAAAUAAAAAGUUGUAUUGUUUUCAUUUUAAACUAAGUAAGCAUUAAAUAAUUAAAUGUUGAUAAAAGAGUCUCUUGAUUUUGUCUUUAUGUACAUCUUUAAAAAUAACAUCUUUAAAGAAAAUGAAUUGCUUCUAUUAUUUCUUUGAUGACUGUAAGAAAUUUCCACACUCGCGCACAUAAAAGUAGAAGAGUUCUCAUUGCUUUGUCGUCUUUGGUUCACCUUUACAAAUCCACCUGGCCUCCCACCUCGGUUUUUCCCAUUCUCGCCCGCCUAGCAUAGGAAUGUUACGCAUACGCCUCGUAUGCUGUCACGGAAAAUUUGACUCACUUGGCCGGCACAUUCCAAACAUCUUUACGACUGGCCAUUAAAAUGGUUAUUAUGUUUUUAAGUUACACCCGCCACCCUUUCGAAGAAUGCGAAAUAUUUGCAUAAAACAAAAUUUUAAUUAAAACUUCAUGAGAGCAACUCGAUUGACCAGUAAAUUAAUCGAAAGCUAAUUAAACAGCUGACGACAUGGGCACACACAUAUAUAGGGCCAAAUCAAGGUCUUUUGUUUUUGCCAUAUUGCCGUCUCUGUCGCGCAAUAUGUGUACAUAUAUCGCUCAUACGCCCCAUGGCCGCUUAUCAAGCGUCUGGUCUGGUUCUUCUGCCUGCUUCUGCGUCGCUUCUUUGGCUUCUGGACGGAGUGAGAAAAGAAAAAGACCCAACACAGACGCACAAUAUAGAGAUACCCAUGGACUUGAGCACCUGUCCGACCGGGCGUCGACGUCAACAACACUUCCCGCGCCACCCACAUGACCACCACCACGAAGUCAGCAACACCACACACUCGAAAAAAUAAAACCUGGGGAGUUCUAGAAAAGUUGUUGUUCUGGGGUAUUCCUAAGAUCUUAGGAUUACCAAUAAAAAGUUUUAAAAAUUA